rnacentral:rRNA from 1 species
UACGGGGAGGGUGCGAGCGUUGUCCGGAAUCGAUUGGGCGUAAAGAGCUCGUAGGCGGCUUGUCACGUCGGGUGUGGAAAGCCCGGGGCUUAACCCCGGGUCUGCAUUCGAUACGGGGCUAGCUAGAGUGUGGUAGGGGAGAUCGGAAUUCCUGGUGUAGCGGUGAAAUGCGCAGAUAUCAGGAGGAACACCGGUGGCGAAGGCGGAUCUCUGGGCCAUUACUGACGCUGAGGAGCGAAAGCGUGGGGAGCGAACAGG